GUAGGUGGCAAGCGUUGUCCGGAAUUAUUGGGCGUAAAGCGCGCAGGCGGUUCUUUAAGUCUGAUGUGAAAGCCCACGGGCUCAACCGUGGAGGGUCACUGGAAACUGGAGAACUUGAGUACAGAAGAGGAAAGCGGAAUUCCACGUGUAGCGGUGAAAUGCGUAGAGAUGUGGAGGAACACCAGUGGCGAAGGCGGCUUUCUGGUCUGUAACUGACGCUGAGGCGCGAAAGCGUGGGGAGCAAACAGGAUUAGAUACCCUGGUAGUCCACGCCGUAAACGAUGAGUGCUAAGUGUUAGGGGGUUUCCGCCCCUUAGUGCUGCAGCUAACGCAUUAAGCACUCCGCCUGGGGAGUACGGCCGCAAAGGCUG
rnacentral:rRNA from 1 species